AAAUAGUCCUUUACUGAAACAGGCUGUCCUUUCUUGCAAGGAAAGAAUGGGUGUUGAGGGAGAAUGGACUUUGGCUUCCCAUGGACUUUGGGUGGAAAAGUUUUUGAAGUUUGAGAAGAGGUUCAGGUAAUGUUAUACAGUCUGCUCUUUAAAAGAAUCAGCUUGAGUUAGGGUGUUAACUUGGAUGGUGUGUCUAAAUAUAACCUGGUUUUCUACAAAAUGUUUGAGUAUACAUUUUCUGUACUCUUUAUAGGACAUGCUUUGUCCUUGACCAGCACCCUUCUGUUUCCUGGAGAAAUGUCUUUUUCUGACCCCACGUGAUUCUCAGGUUACUGUUAAGCAGGCAUGGGUACAACCAGGCCUUGCUCAUCAUGGCCCCAUCCCUGUCUUCUCUUUCACUCUUCACCCAGGCAGGGCCAGACACAGUUCUUCCAUCAGCCUUGACAUGUGAACUCUGGGAGAGAAUAGCUCUUUCCCUCUCAAGGAUUGUCCACCCUAAGGACCAGGCAGGGCCUGGACCAGGCAGGUGGUCAGGGGCCACCCUGCCAACACAGGGGGAGAACCUGUUUGAACCUGAAGUCAGAGAGAGGCCAGCAGAACUGAGAAAUGAAGGAGACGAGUGGAGGGGGACAGAGUGGGCCCUGGUCCCAGGGCUUCCCGGCAGCGAAGCAGUACCUUUGCAUUGGUCUUUGCUGAGUGUGUCCAAAAGGAUCCUGACUCAGUACACUUCUGCUAGAGUAGAGUGAUCCAUAUCUUCUUAACCUGUGUAGCAACCACUGAGUGGUCCUGUGCCUUGCGAAUAAAAAUGGGUGCGGGUCUGCCGUAGCACAUCUGGGAAAGACUGGGGUGGGCGGAGAGAUAAGUGAGGAAAUGGGAGCUUACAUUUUAUUUACUGUGUAGUAUGUCCUCGGUUCGAUUGGUCUGUGAUGAAACUGGUUUUCCAGAAACAAUCCUGGGAAGAAAGAAUGCGAAAUGUUAGGAUGUUUAUCCCUGGGUGGUGGGAUUCUGGGAAGUUUUUUUCUUGUGAAUUGUUUUCUUUAUGAAUUUCCCGAAUAUUUUAUAAAGCAUAUAAAUACCUUUUGUCAUCAGGGAAAGUGAAAUGGAAAAAAAUGUAUAUUUUCUUUUUCUUGUCCGGACACAUUUAACUAUUUCUUUUAGAAGACAUUUUGGCUUCACCUACGUUUUUACAUAGACAAUGGUUUAAUUUUUGUUGUUUAUAGUUACCAUGUGAAAAGCUUUUAUACAUCGACAAUUGCUGUGGUCUGAAUAUUUGUGUUUCCCCAGAUUCACAUGUUGAAACCCUAACCCCCAAAGGCGUUAGUGUGAGAAUGUGGGGCCUUCGGGAGGUGGGGAUGGAGCCCUCAUGUGUGGGAUUAGUGAUCGUAUCAGAGAGACCCCACAGAGCCCCUUCCACAAGCUGUGGACACCAUGGGGAGGCUGGGACUCCCAGCAGAGACACCGCCAACCACACUGACACCCUGAUCGGGGACUCGCAGCCUCCAGAGCCGUGAGCAGCAAGUCUCUGCUGUUUCUGAGCCUCCUGGUCUGUGGGUUUCGGUUACCGCGGCCCGGCUGGACCGAGACUGCAACAACUGAACACUGAUAAUAGUAUGUAGUGUGAUGUAGUAUGUAUCUGCUUUCCAUAGUUUUCCUUCACAUAGUAAAAUUUAAAAACCCUUGAUAGUAGAGUAUCAAGUUCCAUGUUAGUUUCUACUGAAUCAUUAAAAGAGCUUCCCCUUUCAUUUUUAUUUGCUAUGCUCAGGAAUCUAUAUAUGAUCUCUCCUGUUACUAUUAUUAAGCUUUUCCUGUAUGUUCAGAUGAACAAAAGGUGGCCAGUACUGAGCUUAUCAUGACUACAACAAAGUGAGGGAGGAUGGGAAGCAGGGGGCAUUUGAUUUCCUCUGCGUCCAGACUCGAGUGACACCGACUCAAGUGACACGUGGAUAAUCCUGGCCACAGAAGUGGGCACAUGGCCGACGUCUUUCCACCUGUCCUCGUGGAUGAAAAGAGGAUUCCUGCUCACUGAGAAAAACCGUGAUGUUGUCUUGAGACCAGACAUCACAUUCAGGAUGAACAGAACUGGUUUGGGAGGCCCUUCUGGAUGAGAUCUGCUCUCAGGCUCUCAGGCGUUUAGCGAGCUGGACCCCUGGGCUGUGACCUUUGCAGGCACAAAGAAGGACCAUACUGAGAGGCUAAAAGCAACAAAAUACUGAAUUUUGCCUGAGUUAUUAACAUAGAAGUGAAGGGGAAGACAAUUAUUUUGAUCAUUCAAGAGAAGGAAGAAGUUGUCCCACUGAGGGCUCUAGCCAGACUGGACUUGAGCUCCCACUUGGACCCCCAGAACAGCGGCGGUGCUUCCACACUCUGCUCUGGACAACACCCCUCUAACUGGUGGACGCCUCUGCAGUGCUUUAGUUACAGGUUGUGUGGUUCCAAUGAGUGUGAGGUAGUGAAUGGGGAGUUAUGGUCAUUUACAAGAAUGGAGAACAGCCACUUCAUACUUUGUAAGUAACCAGGAUAUGAAUCAGUCCAGCCUCCUGCCUGACUCCCUGACUUUGCGGCCCUUUUGCCCCCCAGCUGCUGGUGUUUGGGGGCGGCCCUCAACUCUUGUGGACAGGAGUCGCAGCGAAUUCAGAGCCAGUGUUUAAUGCCAUCCCGCACGAAGCCCGUCUCUCUGCCGGUUCUGACUCUGUUUCCUGUGAAGGUGUGGUUGCCUUUCUUGCUAGUGCCCAGGGCCCUUCUGCCACCUCCCGGUCAUCUCACUCGUCUGUUACUUAGUUCGCAUUCACCGAGACUGCACCUGGAAUGCGGCCCUGCACUCGGGAAGUGGGGCUCCGCACGCUGGCUCUCAGGAAGCGGAGCUCUGGUCUCACGCCCUUUGCUCUGUGAGCCUCUGCAUUCGAAAGUGGGACCCCGUCCAUGACCCGCCUUGUCCUGGUCCUUUAUCCAGGCACCGUUUUUCCAAAACCCCACAUAGACCACUGCUGGCGUUAGAACCACGUUGGAACUCACCUUUUUACUCUCUGUCCACAUGUGUGGUCAGAAGCUCUGCCCCCGCCGGGCUCUCGGCUGCAGGCUGGACGUGGUGGCCGCUCCGUCCCUGACCACACCCUGGUCCUUCCAGUCACUGCGCCUUCCUGAAGACGACGCGCACGUGAGUUCAGCGUGCAAACCUCGGAAAGUCGGGAACUUGUGAAAUAACCGCUCCUCACGUACGUGCAACCUGAUUAUAGGAAAUGCCUAUGUUUUACUCCCAAUAAAAGGUUUCUAGUGACUCUUCUUCAGCAGUGUUCGAAGCUGAGUUGAAUUUCUUACAUUAUAAGAAAUGGACCAUGAUUCGAUUAUUAUGUAAUACUAGUAUUUUAUUUCAAGUGUUCUUAAUUCAUUACCGCUUCUUGCUCUCCUCAAACAUUAACCACCUGCGGGUGAGGUGAGCGACAUCACUGCGCACCCCCAUUCAUCACGUGUCGAAUGGGGUAGAUUCCAAGGGCUGAACUUCAGUUUUAGGGCCGAGCUGCAGGUGCAGGAUGGCCGCCAGCUGGUGCGACCCUGCAGAAUCCUUGGCAAGAUCCCCCCCCCCAGAGCACCGUGCGCUGGGUGUCUUGGGGGCGGCGCGGGGCCACCGUCUGCGUGUGGCUCACUCACAGGGGUGGGAACUCAGAAGUGGGCGAGUGAAAAAUACGCAGCACCCCAUUUUUAGCCUGACAUUUCAUUUUUCCAGUUUGUCUGCAGUUUCAAAAUAAGUGGAAUAGUUAAAUGGUUUAAAAGGCCCGAAUUCCAAACAUUGUGAAUGUGUAGACCAUUUAGAUAGCGGGAAAUACUUGUUUUUUCUAACUCGUGCCCACUCACCAGGACUUCCAGAAAGCUAAUGGUACUGAUUUGGUGCAGAGAAAGCAUUUGCGGAGCCCUCGGCUUUGGUUUCAGUUUUACAGCAGUGCCGAGGUGCUUGUGCUUAACUAAACCCGCCGUUAGAACUCCGGGGUCGUUCAGAGAGCGCUGCCAGGUGUUUGUGCCGCCCCCAAGGGGGAAACAUCGAGUUGUCGGUCUCUGGUGUUGACUUUUUUUUGGUUGGCAUCAGUGAAAUAAAUUCUCAAUUCUGCAUUUCUUAUGUUGUUUACCCCAAAUAAAUGAAGUUAUACAUUAAAUAAUGACCUGAUUAAUUAUCUGAGCCGUGGGCAUCUUACCAGGAAUUUGGGUGAACACAGGGCAGGUCUGUGUUUAAGACAGGAGUCAGAACCUACGAGGCACUCAGAAAACUUCCCGGUGGACUAUGCCAAAAUUCUCUUCUUUUCCUUAAUUGCAGCUAUUUUAUAUAAUAAGCCUAGUCAUUUCCUCCAGUCCUGGUCUGUGUAGAGGUGAGUCCAAGUUAAAAUUUCUGUGCUCGCUUUUGUUUUAUUUGUUUGACCCUGGAGUUACGUGAACUGCCUGAGCGAUGCACAGACUCCUCAAGGAAGGUGCUUUCACUUUUGGAUGGAAGUCUGGCUUUCCUGCGGAACCGAGGAGGACGGCUCUCGACGUCCCCGGACCGAACGGUGGCUUAGACAGAGCAGGGGGUCCUUUUGCCCUCUUGUAAGGAGGAGCGGUCGUAGGCUACUGCCCUUGUUGCUUCAGUGGCUCCCAGAUGUCAGGCAGUGUCAAGGUGGCCCCUGAGGUUCCUGGCUUUUCCUGUCAGUUCCCUGACAAAGACGGAGGAAGCGCCAAGGGCAUGCCAGGUCGCAGGCGCUCCCUCGGAGAGGACGUGCUCGGGCGCCCACAGCUUCUCUUACAUCUCCUCAGCCAGUGUCAUUGGCCACCACAGAGUCACCUGAGAAAUAUAACAGCCUUCCACAAAACUCUGCAUUCUCACAAUAAGGAGGAAGGAGAUGGUAGGCCUCGGGUGAACAGCUCACGGUCUGUGCCACGGCUGUGAAAUGCAGUCAGUUCUCAAGGACCAGGACGCUGGACAACUGUCAGGGACCCGCCAAGCCCCGCGGCUCUGCUCAGAGUGCACAGGGAAGACGUGCUCAGCUUCCACCCCAACGCGCCCCAGGACCAACCUCGUGUCUCGGCCAGAACAGGGCCCGCCCCCGGAGGAGCACAUGCUCACAGCCACGGCCGUCAGCUCCGCGGGGGGGGCUGGGGUGGAGCAGGCCCCCCCUGGGCUGCUCCCUGUCUGCCCCACUCUCUCCCCCAGUUUCCCUGCCAGGUGUUUGGAGGAGUCUCGUUGGUGUAUCCGAUCCCUCGCCGAGGACCAGCCCUUCCACGCACAGGGGAGGGCAUUCUAUGUAAAGAAGGCUGCCUUUCCCCUUCUGUGACUCCGCUGCCAAUCUGGGAGUAUUCUGGGAGGAAAAGUGCUUCUCUGGGCUGCUUCCACCCGCAGCCUACACCCUGGCUGAGCACAGGGAGAAGCAGCACUUCCCACGGCCGGGCUGCCCGAGAGAACUUCCUCUGGCGACAGAGAUGUUCUCUCUCCGCCAGCCACGUGUGGGGCUGGGGAGGGAGUUUUAAUUCUGUUUAACUUG